rnacentral:rRNA from 1 species
CAGUCGCCGCGGUAAUACGGAGGGUGCAAGCGUUAAUCGGAAUUACUGGGCGUAAAGCGCACGCAGGCGGUUUCUUAAGUCUGAUGUGAAAGCCCCCGGCUCAACCGGGGAGGGUCAUUGGAAACUGGGAAACUUGAGUGCAGAAGAGGAGAGUGGAAUUCCACGCGUAGCGGUGAAAUGCGUAGAGAUGUGGAGGAACACCAGUGGCGAAGGCGACUCUCUGGUCUGUAACUGACGCUGAGGAGCGAAAGCGUGGGGAGCGAACAGGAUUAGAUACCCCCGUAGUCCCUGUCUCUUAUAC